rnacentral:rRNA from 1 species
UGAGGAAUAUUGGUCAAUGGCCGGAAGGCUGAACCAGCCAAGCCGCGUGAAGGACGAAGGUGCCAAGCAUUGUAAACUUCUUUUGUCAAGGGGACAAAAUCAGGCUCGAGAGUCUGACCGAGGGUACUUGAAGAAAAAGCAUCGGCUAACUCCGUGCC